GUGAACGCUGGCGGUAGGCCUAACACGUGCAAGUCGAACGGCAGCACAGUAAGAGCUUGCUCUUCCGGGUGGCGAGUGGCGGACGGGUGAGGAAUACAUCGGAAUCUACUUUUUCGUGGGGGAUAACGUAGGGAAACUUACGCUAAUACCGCAUACGACCUACGGGUGAAAGCAGGGGAUCUUCGGACCUUGCGCGAUUGAAUGAGCCGAUGUCGGAUUAGCUAGUUGGCGGGGUAAAGGCCCACCAAGGCGACGAUCCGUAGCUGGUCUGAGAGGAUGAUCCGCCACAAUGGAACUGGGGAACGGUCCAGACUCCUACGGGAGGCAGCAGUGGGGAAUAUUGGACAAUUGGGGCAAGCCUGAUCCAGCCAUACCGCGUGGGUGAAGAAGGCCUUCGGGUUGUAAAGCCCUUUUGUUGGGAAAGAAAAGCAGCAGGUUAAUACCCCGCUGUUCUGACGGUACCCAAAGAAUAAGCACCGGCUAACUUCGUG
rnacentral:rRNA from 1 species